rnacentral:rRNA from 1 species
GGAGCAAUCUGAGGUGGCGACCGGCGCACGGGUGAGUAACACGUAUGCAACCUGCCUGUAAGCGGGGAAUAACCCGUUGAAAGACGGACUAAUACCGCAUAAUACUAAAUUACUGCAUGGUAAUUUAUUUAAACAUUUAUGGCUUACAGAUGGGCAUGCGCAUGAUUAGCUAGUUGGAGAGGUAACGGCUCCCCAAGGCAACGAUCAUUAGGGGUUCUGAGAGGAAGGUCCCCCCACACUGGUACUGAGACACGGACCAGACUCCUACGGGAGGCAGCAGUGAGGAAUAUUGGUCAAUGGACGAGAGUCUGAACCAGCCAAGUCGCGUGCAGGAAGAAUUGUCCUAUGGAUUGUAAACUGCUUUUGCAGGGGAAUAAAGUGCAUCACGUGUGAUGUUUUGUAUGUACUCUGCGAAUAAGGAUCGGCUAACUCCGUGCCAGCCGCCGC